rnacentral:rRNA from 1 species
GAUGAACGCUGGCGGCGUGCCUAAUACAUGCAAGUCGAACGAGGUGCUUUUGUAGCAAUACGAAAGUAUCCUAGUGGCGAACGGGUGAGUAACGCGUUGGUGACCUGCCCCAAAGUGUGGGAUAACAGUCCGAAAGGAUUGCUAAUACCGCAUGUGGUCCUCGGAUUUAGAAACCGAUGACUAAAGCCGUAAGGCGCUUUGGGAGGGACCUGCGUCCCAUCAGCUAGUUGGUGAGGUAACGGCUCACCAAGGCGACGACGGGUAGGGGGCCUGGAGAGGGU